GCGAGCGUAGUUCAAUGGUAAAACAUCUCCUUGCCAAGGAGAAAAUACGGGUUCGAUUCCCGUCGCUCGCC
rnacentral:tRNA from 1 species